AUAUAAGUGAAGUACUUCAACAGUUAAAAUUGAACUGAAAGACAGGCAGAAACUUUACUUCAACUAUCAUAAAGUUUAUUUAUAAUGAUAAAAAUAUUCAGUCUGCCAGAGCCAAGGCCAGUCAAUGGAAAGUAAAAGAGUAUUAGGGAUUAACCCAUCCAGGUGAUAUACAUGAUGAUUUUGGAAAUUGAUCAUUUAGGUCACCUAUUGCAAACUGGUGAAAAGAUGUCAAAGAUAUAAAUUCAACAUCCAUACCACUCUAUGUAUAUAUAUAUAUUAAAAUACACGUAAU